rnacentral:rRNA from 1 species
AUGUACAUUCCUACAACACAACUCUAAUACACCGAAUCCCAUUAGAACUCCACAGUUAAGCACACUCAGGAUAGAGUAGUACUGGGAUGGGUGACUGCCCAAGAAGUACUAGUGUUUUACAUG